CCGCGUGUGCGAAGAAGGCCUUCGGGUUGUAAAGCACUUUUGUCAGGGAAGAAAUCCUUUGGGCUAAUACCCUAGGGGGAUGACGGUACCUGAAGAAUAAGCACCGGCUAACUACGUGCCAGCAGCCGCGGUAAUUAGUAGGGUGCAAGCGUUAAUCGGAA
rnacentral:rRNA from 1 species